UCUAAACAUAAUGACAUAGAGAGUGCCUUUGGAGUGUUGAGGGUGAAAUCACAAAUUCGCCGCAAGAUGCUAAACUACUCGAUUCAAACAUAGAUGUUGAUUAUUGUAGUUAUUGUAACAUUGCACAACUACGUUCGUCUCCAUGACAAAGAUGACCUUCACUUUGUUUGGUGUGAAAGAGAUCCACGUUAUGUUCCAACAAUCCCGGAUAGAUACAAGAAGUAUGUUAUUCCUUGGAGUGCAUCAGAUGCUUCAACUUCAUAGGCAAGUGCUCCUAACAUGGAUAUGUUUAGGAACGAACUAGCAACCAUCAUUGCUUUUGCUUGGUGA
rnacentral:rRNA from 1 species